CGGGGUAUGGCGCAGUCUGGUAGCGCGCAGUGUUCGGGUCACUGAGGUCCGCAGUUCGAGUCUGCGUACCCCGA
rnacentral:tRNA from 1 species